rnacentral:rRNA from 1 species
GGAAUAUUGCACAAUGGGCGAAAGCCUGAUGCAGCGACGCCGCGUGAGCGAAGAAGUAUUUCGGUAUGUAAAGCUCUAUCAGCAGGGAAGAUAAUGACGGUACCUGACUAAGAAGCACCGGCUAAAUACGUGCCAGCAGCCGCGGUAAUACGUAUGGUGCAAGCGUUAUCCGGAUUUACUGGGUGUAAAGGGAGCGUAGGCGGUUUUACAAGUCUGAUGUGAAAGCCCGGGGCUCAACUCCGGUAUUGCAUUGGAAACUGUAGAACUAGAGUGUCGGAGGGGUAAGUGGAAUUCCUAGUGUAGCGGUGAAAUGCGUAGAUAUUAGGAGGAACACCAGUGGCGAAGGCGGCUUACUGGACGAUUACUGACGCUGAGGCUCGAAAGCGUGGGGAGCAAACA